rnacentral:lncRNA from 1 species
AUGGAAUUCUCCAGGCAAGAAUACUGGAGUGGGUUGCCAUUCCUUUCUCCAGGGGAUCUUCCCCACCCAGAUAUCAAACACAGGUCUCCUGCACUGCAGGCAGAUUCUUUACCACUGAGUCACCUGGGAAGCUUCUAUGACUAUGCCAAAGCCUUUGACUGUGUGGAUCCCAAUAAACUGUGGGAAAUUCUGAGAGAGUUGGGAAUACCAGACCACCUGGCCUGCCUCUUGAGAAAUCUGUAUGCAGGUCAGGAAGCAACAGUUAGAACUGGACAUGGAACAACAGACUGGUUCCAAAUAGGAAAAGGAGUACGUCAAGGCUGUAUAUUGUCACCCUGCUUAUUUAACUUCUAUGCAGAGUACAUCAUAAGAAAUGCUGGACUGGAAGAAACACAAGCUGGAAUCAAGAUUGCCGGGAGAAGUAUCAAUAACCUCAGAUAUGCAGAUGACACCACCCUUAUGGCAGAGAGUGAAGAGGAACUAAAAAGCCUCUUCAUGAAAGUGAAAGUGGAGAGUGAAAAAUUUGGCUUAAAGCUCAACAUUCAGAAAACGAAGAUCAUGGCAUCCGGGCCCAUAACUUCAUGGGAAAUAGAUGGGGAAACAGUGGAUACAGUGUCAGACUUUAUUUUUCUGGGCUCCAAAAUCACUGAAGAUGGUGACUGCAGCCAUGAAAUUAAAAGACACUUACUCCUUGGAAAGAAAGUUAUGACCAACCUAGAUAGCAUAUUCAAAAGCAGAGACAUUACUGUGACGGCUAAGGUCCGUCUAGUCAAGGCUAUGGUUUUUCCAGUGGUCAUGUAUAGAUGUGAAAGUUGGACUGUGAAGAAAGCUGAGCACCGAAGAAUUGAUGCUUUUGAACUGUGGUGUUGGAGAAGACUCUUGAGAGUCACUUGGACUGCAAGGAGAUCCAACCAAUCCAUUUUGAAGGAGAUCUGCCCUGAGAUUUCUUUGGAGGGAAAGAUGCUAAAGCUGAAACUCCAGUACUUUGGCCACCUCAUGGGAAGAGUUGACUCAUUGGAAAAGACUCUGAUGCUGGGAGGGAUUGGGGGCAGGAGGAGAAGGGGAUGA